rnacentral:rRNA from 1 species
CCUACGGGCCGCACCAGUGGGGAAUAUUGCACAAUGGGCGCAAGCCUGAUGCAGCCAUGCCGCGUGUAUGAAGAAGGCCUUCGGAUUGUAAAGUACUUUCAGCGGGGAGGAAGGUGUUGUGGUUAAUAACCGCAGCAAUUGACGGUACCCGCAGAAGAAGCACCGGCUAACUCCGUGCCAGCAGCCGCGGUAAUACGGAGGGUGCAGCGUUAAUCGGAAUUACUGGGCGUAAAGCGCACGCAGGCGGUCUGUCAAGUCGGAUGUGAAAUCCCCGGGCUCAACCUGGGAACUGCAUUCGAAACUGGCAGGCUAGAGUCUUGUAGAGGGGGGUAGAAUUCCAGGUGUAGCGGUGAAAUGCGUAGAGAUCUGGAGGAAUACCGGUGGCGAAGGCGGCCCCCUGGACAAAGACUGACGCUCAGGUGCGAAAGCGUGGGGAGCAAACAGGAUUAGAUACCCCAGU